CUACGGACUUAGAAAACUGAGCCUUAUUGGAGAAAUCCAUUAAGUGACCGCUCUCAAAUUCAGGGAAACCUAACUCUGGUAACAGACAAGGCAAUCCUGAGCCAAGCCGAAAUUUCGGAAGGUGCAGAGACUCGACGGGAGCUACCCUAACGUAAAGCCGAGGGUAAAGGGAGAGUCCAAUUCUCAAAACCAGAAUUCUGG
rnacentral:ncRNA from 1 species